GUGUGUGUGUAUGUAUGUGUGUGUGUGUGUGUGUGUGUGUGUGUAUACACACACACACACACACACACACACACACACAU